AGCUUGCUCUCUGAUGGCGAGUGGCGAACGGGUGAGUAAUAUAUCGGAACGUGCCUAGUAAUGGGGAAUAACUAGCUGAAAGGUUAGCUAAUGCCGCAUACGACCUACGGGUGAAAGCAGGGGAUCUUCGGACCUUGCGUUAUUAGAGCGGCCGAUAUCUGAUUAUCUUGUUGGCGGGGUAAUGGCCUACCAAGGCGACAAUCAUUAGCUGGUCUGAGAGGACGAUCAGCCACCCUGGAACUGAGACACGGUCCAGACUCCUACCGGAGGCAGCAGUGGGGAAUUUUGGACAAUGGGGGCAACCCUGAUCCACCCAUUCCCCGUGAGUGAAGAAGGCCUUCGGGUUGUAAAGCUCUUUCUCAAGAGAAGAAAACUUUCUAUCUAUUAAAUAGUAAGUAAGACGGCUUCUUGAAAAGAAACACCGGCUUAACUACGUGCCCAGCGCCCGCGGUAAUACAUAGGGUGCGAGCGUUAAUCGAAAUUACUGGGGGAAAAAGCGUGCCGCCGGGCUUUUUUUAAGGCAGAUGGAGAAACCCCCCACCCCCACCUGGGAAACCCGCCUUUGAAACUAUAAAAAACAAAUUGGGUCAAAAGGGGGGGAAAAAUUCCCCGUGGUACCCCCGAAAAUGCCUACAAAAUUUGGGAGGAAUACCAAUGGGGGAAGGGGGCCCCCCGGGAAUAAAACUGAACCCCUCAGCCCCAAAAGGUUGGGGGGC
rnacentral:rRNA from 1 species